rnacentral:rRNA from 1 species
CUGCUUCUACUUUCUGUAUGGAGCUGGGAGCGUCUGCCUGUUGGACGCCCGAAGAGCGUCAGGUUUGAUCCUUGGUAUGCAGAUGAACAUGACGAGUUACGGCGCCCCACGUGGGCUUACAAGUGGGAUAUCGUUUCCGAGAUGACGAACGAUGUCAAUCUCAUGUACCAAAAGUACAUUGCCGAGUUGGACACGAUUACGCCUGAGCAGGUAAGGAGGUCAUUACUUUAG